UACAGAGGUCCCAAGCGUUGUUCGGAAUUACUGGGCGUAAAGCGCGCGUAGGCGGACCUGCAAGUCGGGGGUGAAAGCCCGAGGCUCAACCUCGGAACUGCCUUCGAUACUGCGGGUCUCGAGUCCGGGAGAGGUGAGUGGAAUUCCUAGUGUAGAGGUGAAAUUCGUAGAUAUUAGGAAGAACACCAGUGGCGAAGGCGGCUCACUGGCCCGGUACUGACGCUGAGGCGCGAAAGCGUGGGGAGCAAACAGG
rnacentral:rRNA from 1 species